AGACUGCAGCUGCUCAUGCAGCUUUAUACCAUCACUGACUGCAUGCCUGUACCCCUGGCCCUGGCAGUGGGCUACCAUGUUCCAUGUACACCAGCUAGGAUCUAGGAGUCAAGAGUCACCUGCAUCUGCAGCUUGAAAGAAAAGACAAUUGCAAAUUUUCUUAAAGAGUAGAUAGUACCACCAUCUCAAAGAAAAAAGUUAAGUUCCAUUGCAUGCUGUUGGCGCAUGGCAUGUACAUGAUCCCAAAACUCUCUGAAUUCACAGUUUACAAAUCACUGCUAUACCGUAUCGGCGUAUAACUCCACCAUGUACCAGCUUCAAAGAAAAAGGAUUUAAGUUAUGUUGCUCAUUGCUAAAUAAAUGUGUUUACGUGUUUCUUCCAGCUGCAGAUUUUACCGUACCUCGGCCCCACAAUGUGUACCAGCUAGGAGUUUACUUAACCACCUUCAUCGACUUCAAAGAAACGACUUGCAAGUUAUGUCAGAUUCCAUAAAACUAUAUAGCUAGCUAGAGGGCAACUGUCCCUGGUUUCGACCUUCAUCUGUAGCAUACUGAUUUACGAGUUUGUGUCUUCAUGUGUCAGUUACACUGGUUUCGACUGGUCAACUUCGUCCAUGGGGUGAUAGCUAGUAUACUGAUUUACGAGUUUGUGUGUAUGUGUCCUCAUGUGUCAGUUACACUGGUUUCGACUGGUCAACUUCGUCCAUGGGGUGAUAGCUAGCAUACUGAUUUACGAGUUUGUGUGUAUGUGUCCUCACGUGUCAGUUACACUGGUUUCGACUGGUCAACUUCGUCCAUGGGGUGAUAGCUAGCAUUGUAAUUUACCAGUUUGUGUGUAUGUGUCCUCAUGCGUCAGUUACACUGGUUUCGACUGGUCAACUUCGUCCAUGGGGUGAUAGCUAGCAUUGUAAUUUACGAGUUUGUGUGUAUGUGUCCUCAUGCAUCAGUUACACUGGUUUCGACUGGUCAACUUCGUCCAUGGGGUGAUAGCUAGCAUUGUAAUUUACGAGUUUGUGUGUAUGUGUCCUCAUGCGUCAGUUACACUGGUUUCGACUGGUCAACUUCGUCCAUGGGGUGAUAGCUAGCAUUGUAAUUUACGAGUUUGUGUGUAUGUGUCCUCAUGCGUCAGUUACACUGGUUUCGACUGGUCAACUUCGUCCAUGGGGUGAUAGCUAGCAUACUGAUUUACGAUUUUGUGUGUAUGUGUCCUCACGUGUCAGUUACACUGGUUUCGACUGGUCAACUUCGUCCAUGGGGUGAUAGCUAUAGCAUACUGAUUUACGAGUUUGUGUGUAUAUGUGUCCUCACGUGUCAGUUACACUGGUCAACUUCGUCCAUGGGGGUGAUAGCUUAUACUAUUUACAUUUUGCACUACAUAUGUGUUGGUAACUAUAGUGACUUCAAUCUUUUGUUCUGUAGGGGCUUAUUGUGACGAAAAUGAUCUGAGGGAUGUAGCGUUCAUGAAACCAAACGAAACGCCUGCAGUUCACUGUACUGGAAUUUCAAGAAACGCUAAGUGAUGAACACUAAAAACAAUUUACUGACAGAAGAAAUGUAUUGUGCUGCAUGUCAUGUGAUCCAGUGAUCUUAUUCUAUCAUAAACUCA